CUCAGAGCAUAAUUUAUUCAGAAAUUGAACUUUAUAUCCAAGAAAUGCAAAUAAAUCAUCAACCUAAAAUACAAGAGGAAGCAAAUGAAGGAGAUUGGAAGGUGACUGUUGUCACUGGGGAUAUUGAAAAUGCAGGCACUCCGGCAACAGUAUCCCUUUAUGUUUAUGGAGAAGCAAGAUGUUCGGGUCCAAUUAUUUUAGGAUCUGGGAAACACCAGAUGUUUAACCCCAACACCGCAGAUAUGUUCAAGGUAAAAUUGAUAUGCUAUCACCUGCUUAUAAAGAUAUCUCCUGAUCCACAGUCCCUAAGAUAAAAUAGAGAAUUGUGUCUGUUUCUCAUUUACAUGACAUUUUUUUGGGGAAAUGUGAUUUCUUUUUUAUCCUGAUGGAGUUGGAAAACAGGAGUAAUAAUAGAAAUAAAGUUUUUGUUUGUUUCCCCUUUUUAUUUGCAGCACAGUAUAUUAACUUUGGAAAAUUUAAAACAUAUUAAGGAAAAAUUUACUUCUAGUCCACCAUCAGGUCAAGUAUUUCCAUUUUGACUAUCUUUUCUCGUCCUUGUUCAUGUCCAAGGAGUACAAUGCUGAUGGAAAGGUAGUGAGCCUCAUGGCCAAGACAGGGUCGAAGGAGUCAGGUGGCCAGGCUUUGAAUGGCCAAGAAUUAGCACUUAUUAGCAUGGCUACUUGUACAAGUUACUUAAUUGCUAUGUGCCUCAAUAAGCCUUACCUAAAAGGGUUAUCAUGAGGAUUAAAUGAAUUAAUCCAUGUAAAGUAUUUAGUGUAGUGCCUAAAAUGCUCAAUGAGUGUUUGCUAUGA